AGUGAACGCUGGCGGCGUGCCUAAUACAUGCAAGUCGAACGGAGUGGCGCACGGGUGAGUAAUAUAUAGCUAAUUUGCGCCUUGCUGGAGGACACUAGUUGGAAAUGACUGCUAAUCCUCAAUAGCAAGGUAUGAGACCAUAUCGUAUCAGCUAGUCGGUGGGGUAACGGCCUACCGAGGCUAUGACGCGUAACUGGUCUGAGAGGAUGAUCAGUGACCUUGGAAGUGAGAGACGGUGCAGGCUGCUACGGGAGGUAGCCGUAGGGACUAUCGCGCAAUGGGGGAAAGCCUGACGUGGCAACGCCGCGUGAAGGAUGAUACUGUUCGGAUCUUAAGUUACUUUUGUUAGGGAUGCGUUACCUAACGAAUAAGCACCGGCUAACUCCGUGCCAGCAGCCGCGGUAAUUC
rnacentral:rRNA from 1 species